rnacentral:rRNA from 1 species
UACGUAGGGUGCGAGCGUUAAUCGGAAUUACUGGGCGUAAAGCGUGCGCAGGCGGUUUUGUAAGUCUGUCGUGAAAUCCCCGGGCUCAACCUGGGAAUUGCGAUGGAGACUGCAAGGCUAGAAUCUGGCAGAGGGGGGUAGAAUUCCACGUGUAGCAGUGAAAUGCGUAGAGAUGUGGAGGAACACCGAUGGCGAAGGCAGCCCCCUGGGCCAAGAUUGACGCUCAUGCACGAAAGCGUGGGGAGCAAACGAGGAUUAGAGUACCCGGGUA